rnacentral:lncRNA from 1 species
CCCUCUAGCUAACUAUGGAAUUUCCAAGGGUCAUUCCUGUUUCUCUUCUUUCUCCAGGAAGUCCUGCCUGGUUAGUUUUGCAGAAAGUUGUGAGAGUUGUUGAGCAAUGUUGGAGCCACCGAUUUGGGGCUCAGAGUGCAGGGCCCUCCUGUUGCACAGCUGCAGGACCAUUAUUCACACGUGGCACCCCUGAGUCUGUGCACUGUACAGUCCUGUGGAGCAAGGUUCUUCACCAGGAAGUUGAUACCUCACCCUGCUGCUGCCCAGCUUGCUGAUUCUGCUCCCACAGUCUUCCAGGUAUCAAGCCAAGGGACCAUCAGGCUGGCUGCAGAAGCACCACGGACUGCACUCAGACUGGGUAAGUAGCUGCCCACUGAUAGAGGAGAUUAAGGUGCAUUUGAUCUUUC